rnacentral:rRNA from 1 species
GAGAGCCGUAACACAGGUGCUGCAUGGCUGUCGUCAGCUCGUGUCGUGAGAUGUUGGGUUAAGUCCCGCAACGAGCGCAACCCUUGUCUCUAGUUACCAUCAUUAAGUUGGGGACUCCAGAGAUACUGCCAAGGUUAACUUGGAGGAAGGUGGGGAUGACGUCAAGUCCUCAUGGCCUUUAUGUCCAGGGCUACACACGUGCUACAAUGGACGGUACAGAGGGUAGCGAUAUCGCGAGAUGGAGCCAAUCCCAAAAAGCCGUUCCCAGUUCGGAUUGGAGGCUGCAAUUCGCCUGCAUGAAGUCGGAAUCGCUAGUAAUCGCAGGUCAGCAUACUGCGGUGAAUACGUUCCCGGGCCUU